rnacentral:rRNA from 1 species
GAUGAACGCUAGCGGCAGGCUUAAUACAUGCAAGUCAAGGGGGUAGCAAUACAACCGGCGCACGGGUGAGUAACGCGUACACAACAUACCAUAUACUGGAGUAUAGCUUUGGGAAACUGAAGGUAAUCCUCCAUAACAUUGCGAGAGGGCAUCUGAUUGCAAUUAAAGUUCCGGCGGUAUAUGAUUGGUGUGCGUUUGAUUAGCUAGUUGGUAGGGUAACGGCCUACCAAGGCGACGAUCAAUAGCUGGCGUGAGAGCGCGACCAGCCACACUGGAACUGAGACACGGUCCAGACUCCUACGGGAGGCAGCAGUAGGGAAUAUUGGACAAUGGGCGAAAGCCUGAUCCAGCCAUGCCGCGUGAUAGAUGAAGGCCCUCUGGGUUGU